CACUAGAAAGCUAAAACAGGGAUACAGCGUUGGCCUUUUAAGCCAAAGAUUGGUGCCUCCUAACCACCUCUAGUGA
rnacentral:tRNA from 2 species